rnacentral:rRNA from 1 species
UUCGCUUUCGGAGUGGCCGAUAUCGGAUUAGCUAGUUGGUGAGGUAAAGGCUCACCAAGGCGACGAUCCGUAGCUGGUCUGAGAGGACGACCAGCCACACUGGAACUGAGACACGGUCCAGACUCCUACGGGAGGCAGCAGUGGGGAAUUUUGGACAAUGGGGGCAACCCUGAUCCAGCCAUGCCGCGUGAGUGAAGAAGGCCUUCGGGUUGUAAAGCUCUUUCAGACGGAAAGAAACGGUUACGGCUAAUACCCGUGACUAAUGACGGUACCGUCAGAAGAAGCACCGGCUAACUACGUGCCAGCAGCCGCGGUAAUACGUAGGGUGCGAGCGUUAAUCGGAAUUACUGGGCGUAAAGCGUGCGCAGGCGGUUUUGUAAGACAGACGUGGAAUCCCCGGGCUUAACCUGGGAACUGCGUUUGUGACUGCAAGACUAGAGUACGGCAGAGGGGGGUAGAAUUCCACGUGUAGCAGUGAAAUGCGUAGAUAUGUGGAGGAAUACCGAUGGCGAAGGCAGCCCCCUGGGUCGAUACUGACGCUCAUGCACGAAAGCGUGGGGAGCAAACAGGAUUAGAUACCCUGGUAGUCCACGCCCUAAACGAUGUCAACUAGGUGUUGGGGAAGGAGACUUCUUUAGUACCGCAGCUAACGCGAUAAGUUGACCGCCUGGGGAGUACGGUCGCAAGAUUAAAACUUAAAGGAAUUGACGG